CCUACGGGAGGCAGCAGUGGGGAAUAUUGGACAAUGGGCGCAAGCCUGAUCCAGCCAUGCCGCGUGGGUGAUGAAGGCCUUAGGGUUGUAAAGCCCUUUCAGCGGGGAAGAUAAUGACGGUACCCGCAGAAGAAGCCCCGGCUAACUUCGUGCCAGCAGCCGCGGUAAU
rnacentral:rRNA from 1 species